ensembl:lncRNA
CAGAGCGCAUGGUGGCUGCAAGCUGCUCAGGGCCACACCCCCACCCUCCUCCUUGACACGCCCACCGAAACAGCGCAUUUGGGGGAAGCUCGAUGUGCGACUGGCUCGGAGUGGCUGUAACUCUGCACCACGGCUGAAUUUAGGGAACGUCUUUGAAUACUGUGUUAGUUGCCCACUAAUACCUAUAUUAAAGAAUACAUAAAAUAGCAUGUCAUGGGACCUUUAACAAACAGAGUUAACGCUGAACUCUAGGUUGAUUGACCCUGUGCCGACCAACCCAGAGUUUUCGGUUCCACAGCAGCGGUUAUGCAUUAGUUCAAUCAACUCGGGGUUGGUUAACACAGGGUUGUGCGCGUCCACGCCAAACCUAAAAAGACGUUUUGUAUGGAUCAUGGAAACCCUGAUCGAUAUGGCGAAACGGGCCACUUAUUUCAAUGAAAUGGAACUCCAGGUUCUCCUGGAGAGCUAUGACGAGGAGAUGGGACAUUAUCACAAGAAAAGGGAACGCUAAAGCCUCUGCAACCCGGAGAACCAAAGCCUGGCAGCGGAUCGCUGACCGCGUAAAUGCAGCAUCUUGGAGAUGGAUGGAGCUGCACAGCCUCAUGAAUUUAUUUAUAUUGAUGAGGCUGGAUUCAACCUCAGCAAAACAAGCCGACGGGGUCGUAACAUAAUUGGCCAAAGGGCAAUUGUGCAAGUCCCGGGGCAGCGCGGGGGAAAUAUCUCAUUGUGUGCUGCCAUAAGCCUUCAAGGGCUACUGCACCAUCAAGCAAAACUAGGUCCCUUCCAUACCGAACAUAUAACUUUUCUGGAUGCACUUCACGAUGCAGCUGUAGAGGACAGACCAGUUCAGCCCAGGUUCUAUGUCGUAUAGGCUUCGCCUUUUAAGGCUAUCGCUAUUGGGUUAUCCCUAGGCGUGAGCCGUAGCACUGAAAAAAAACAACAACAGCGUGGGUUUCAACAACGUCUGCAGAUAUAAGCGGGCGCCGGCAGACGUUCUGCUCCCAUUUUCUUUUGGACGAUCCUGUAGCAUACCGAAGUAAAUAAAUAGAUAUUAUGGACUCAACGGCGAACGGCAUCUGCAAGACAUGUAACGCGGGUUACAUCUUGCCGUAUGGCGGCCAUGAGGU